GAUGAACGCUGGCGGCGUGCUUAACACAUGCAAGUCGAGCGAGAAAAGUUCUUCGGAGCUUUUCUAGCGGCGGACGGGUGAGUAACACGUGGGCAACCUGCCUCAUAGAGGGGAAUAGCCUUCCGAAAGGAAGAUUAAUACCGCAUAAUAUUGUUGAAAGGCAUCUUUUAACAAUCAAAGGAGCAAUCCGCUAUGAGAUGGGCCCGCGGCGCAUUAGCUAGUUGGUGAGGUAACGGCUCACCAAGGCGACGAUGCGUAGCCGACCUGAGAGGGUGAUCGGCCACAUUGGAACUGAGACACGGUCCAGACUCCUACGGGAGGCAGCAGUGGGGAAUAUUGCACAAUGGGGGAAACCCUGAUGCAGCAACGCCGCGUGAGUGAUGAAGGUCUUCGGAUUGUAAAGCUCUGUCUUUAGGGACGAUAAUGACGGUACCUAAGGAGGAAGCCACGGCUAACUACGUGCCAGCCGCCGCGGUAAGAC
rnacentral:rRNA from 1 species